CCUACGGGGGGCAGCAGUGAGGAAUAUUGGUCAAUGGCCGGAAGGCUGAACCAGCCAAGCCGCGUGAGGGAGGAAGGCGCAGAGCGUCGCAGACCUCUUUUGCCGGGGACUAAAGGCCGGACUCGUCCGGUCCUGAGGGGACCCGGAGAAAAAGCAUCGGCUAACUUCGUGCCAGCCGCCGCGGUAAUAGGGAGGAUGCGAGCGUUAUCCGGAUUCAUUGGGUUUAAAGGGUGCGCAGGCGGGCCUUUAAGCCGGCGGUUAAAUUGCGGGGGUAAAACCCGCCGGGCCGGCGGAACUGGGGGCCUUGAGUGCGGCGGAGGCAUGCGGAAUGCGCGGUGUAGCGGUGAAAUGCAUAGAUAUCGCGCAGAACCCCGAUUGCGAAGGCAGUGUGCCGUGCCGCCACUGACGCUGAGGCACGAAAGCGCGGGGAUCGAACAGGAUUAGAUACUCUUGUAGUC
rnacentral:rRNA from 1 species